AUAUGAAGUUGUUAAAACAGAGAAAAUAAAUCAAAUUUGGAAUUCAAGAACAAACCAAUUGGAUUGACAAGAGAAGAAAUCCUAGUGGUAAGAUGAGAACGGAGACGCUCAAGAUACACCAUGCGCUACAUGAAAGGUUGUCAACAAGGCCAUGAACUGAGGUUGAAGAUCCGUAGGAAAGCCUGGAUAAGCCAAUGUCUUGAGAUACAACCCUCGAAGAUCACCACCGGCGGUUGCCGUCGCAGCUGAAACCUGCAAGUAGUUAUGCCUCAAAACAUCAGGCAUAAGCAUGGAGAGAGACGAGCAGCAGCAGACCCAGAUUUCCCCAACCUCAAGAAUGCCAUCUCCCUUCUGCGAAAUCCUACAGCCAACCGCAGAGAGCUUGUCGAUGAUGCUGGUUAGAUGACAAGGGAUGACAGGGGACAACGAAAUACAAGAUCGGGUAAUUGCUGCUGCAACCAUGAAAGUGCCGGUUUCUAUUCUGUCCGGUAUCACGGUGAACUGAGCUCCAUGCAACGACCUUCUACCGUCGAUGACAAGCGUGCGAGUGCCAACCCCUUUGAUCUGCGCCCCGCAGGCGAGGAGGAACCGAGCGAGGUCUGCCACUUCGGGUUCCUGGAGAAGGAACGAGUAGUAGCCUAUUUUAGUCGGGAGAUACAACGAAAACUUGAUGUGUUUGAGAGUUCGAACCUGAGCUACGUUGGUGAGCACGGACACUCCCUCUGCCAUUGAAGCCGCCAUCAUGAGGGUUUCACUUGCGCCAACACUCGGGUAAUCGAGAUGGAACCGUCCUCCGUGCUAUGAAACACAGCAGCUAUAGGUAAUCACGAAGGCAAAGCCAAGAAUUGACUUAACUCAGUUCCACGACAGCGCCGAGAGCGGAGAGGCCACGGAGGUAGAGAUCAACAGGGCGCGCUCCGAUGCUGCACCCGCC